AGAUUUGGGGCUGGGGUAAGGUUUAAGGUUAUGGCGUAAGGGUUUAAAUCACUGUCCAAAACGUUUGUAGGAACUAUUUUCCAAGCUUUUGGAGUUAGUUAGACCAAAAAGAAAUGAAAAAUGAAAAAAAAAUAUUUGUGGUGUUCGGGCUUCCUGAAGAUAAUACAUGGGUAUUAGGUUUUGGGGCUAGGGAAAGGUUUAAGGUUUUUGGCGUUAGGGUUAAAAUCACUGUCCAAAACCUUUGUAGGAACUCUUUUCCAACCAUUUGGAGUUAGUUAGACCAAAUAAAAAUGAAAAAUGAAAAAAAAAUAUUUGGCUUGUUUUGGCUUCCUGAAGAUA